rnacentral:tRNA from 1 species
UCCUUUAUAGCUCAGUGGUCAGAGCAGACGGCUGUUAACCGUAAGGUCAUAGGUUCAAAUCCUAUUAAAGGAG